UCUACAUUUCAUCAGUUUCUUAAAUCGUGCUGGCCUUACUGAAAGCUGUGGUUGGUUCCCCUGGACAACUAUUGAAGCAUGGCUUGAGUUGGUCCCAGAACUGGGAUAUGAUGCAAUUUCUAGUGUGCCAUGUGGAGAGAUUUGUUUGAGAGGAAAAACCUUGUUUUCUGGUUAUCACAAGCUGCAAGAUCUAACUAAAGAUGGGCUGUUGGAGUUGCUGGAGGGGUUUUGGAGUCACCGCGGCAGUUUCUUAGGUAUCAGACACCAUGGCAGUUAUGGGAUUGAUCAUGUAUGUUAAAUCAAGUCACAUGUAUUGUGAAUGCUACUGAGCUUAUACAAAGUAGAAUCAUAGCCAAAAAAAAAAAAAAAAAAAAAACAGAAUCAUUGCAUAUCAUAUUUUUAUUCAUUUUUCAGAAAACAGGUCAAACGGCCCGAAAAGAAAAAUGGGUAAAAAUUGAAAAAAGUGUAAACGAAAAAUGGCCCAUACAAGUCUUGAAACUGUGAGCUUUGCGUUAUUGGCACGAUGCUUUAACCAGCUGAGCUAAUCUGCCAGUUGAUAAGUUGGAUACGAAUUAGAUACAAGGAGUGAAUAUGGUAGUGGGAUAUGAGCACUUAGAAAGGCUCACUGGUGUGAUUCGAUUCAAAUUGUUAGUAUGAGAUGAUGGCUGAAACUCUGUUUUCACUGGCAUUGACUAUUAAGAGGAACCCAAGCGGUCAAAUGCUUGGUCAACGCCAAGUCAACGAGAAGAAGGCGGGUCCAUAUGUGUGGACUACAUAUCAAGAGGUGUAUGAUGCAGCCAUUCGUGUGGGUUCAGCCAUCGGGUUCAGCCAUCAGAAGCCAUGGUGUCAAUCCUGCCUGUGACAGCCAUGCCAUUACAUAUGUUCCACUUCAUGACACCCUUGCGGCUGGCUGCUGAAUGCUUGAUAGUUGUCUAUCGGAAACUACUGGACAGUAACAAGUGUUUGCUAGCUAGCCAUAACAAAAGUUUAGUAGCCAACCACUAAACAUGCCAAACAGUUUUUGAAUUCUACAGGUAUAAGGGGAAGUUUUGGGAAAAAAGUUGUGGGGGGUCUAGGGAGAAAAUUGGAAGGUGCAUUUUCAGUUUCCCUUGAAAUUUAUUUGAUUGACAUUUCAUGGUUUCUGUUGCAAGUGCUAAUGCAGUUGAGUUCAUCAUCAACCGUGCUGAAGUUUCAAUAGCUUUUGUUCAAGAGAACAAAAUCCCUGCUAUUAUAUCAAUCCUUCCAAACUGUUCUACGCAUUUAAAAAUAAUUGUCAGCUUCACAAAUGUUUCUGGCACUCAAAAGAAGGAAGCAGAAGAACUGGGGGUAUCUUGCUUUUUGUGGGAGGAAUUCCUUCAGUUGGGAAAUUCAGAUUCUGAACUACGUCCAAAACAGAGGACCGCUGUGCGCACAAUAAUGUAUACAAGUGGAACGACUGGAGAACCAAAAGGCGUAAUCGUUACUAAUGCAGCAUUAAUGUCAGAAGAAUUGUCAAUAGACAUAUACUUUUCCUAACAGAUAGAGUGGUAAAUAACUUGACACAGUUAACAUCUUCAAUUUUUUAGCUUUUUAUUCUAUCUUGAUGUUUCUGAAUUAAUGCUUACUCUGCCUCUCUAAAAAAAAAAAAAAAAUAAGAGAGGCAGAAUAGCUCCUGUAACUUGUCCCGAGUUGUUUGGGGGUGUAAUCUGGUGAUUAAUUUUCACCAGGUCAUGUACCUAUGUUUGGUCUAUUGCAUAGUUUUGAAGCAUAAAUGUACCUCAUUUAUAUGUGAAGAGGCAAAUAGACUUGUAGAGAACAUGUUUUGGUCAUGGAGAUUUAGUAGUUUUGUCACUGAAAAGGCCAAUAUAAGGCCGAUUUUGUUUUGGAUUUUGUAGCAUCAUCAAUAUGAAAUUAUUUCCUCAUUAUUAAAUGAAAAUUGCGAUCC